UUGCUCUUCUUGGAUGAGUUGCGAACGGGUGAGUAACGCGUAGGUAACCUGCCUUGUAGCGGGGGAUAACUAUUGGAAACGAUAGCUAAUACCGCAUAACAAUGGGUGACACAUGUCAUUUAUUUGAAAGGGGCAAUUGCUCCACUACAAGAUGGACCUGCGUUGUAUUAGCUAGUAGGUGAGGUAACGGCUCACCUAGGCGACGAUACAUAGCCGACCUGAGAGGGUGAUCGGCCACACUGGGACUGAGACACGGCCCAGACUCCUACGGGAGGCAGCAGUAGGGAAUCUUCGGCAAUGGGGGCAACCCUGACCGAGCAACGCCGCGUGAGUGAAGAAGGUUUUCGGAUCGUAAAGCUCUGUUGUAAGUCAAGAACGAGUGUGAGAGUGGAAAGUUCACACUGUGACGGUAGCUUACCAGAAAGGGACGGCUAACUACGUGCCAGCAGCCGCGGUAAUACGUAGGUCCCGAGCGUUGUCCGGAUUUAUUGGGCGUAAAGCGAGCGCAGGCGGUUUGAUAAGUCUGAAGUUAAAGGCUGUGGCUCAACCAUAGUUCGCUUUGGAAACUGUCAAACUUGAGUGCAGAAGGGGAGAGUGGAAUUCCAUGUGUAGCGGUGAAAUGCGUAGAUAUAUGGAGGAACACCGGUGGCGAAAGCGGCUCUCUGGUCUGUAACUGACGCUGAGGCUCGAAAGCGUGGGGAGCGAACAGGAUUAGAUACCCUGGUAGUCCACGCCGUAAACGAUGAGUGCUAGGUGUUGGAUCCUUUCCGGGAUUCAGUGCCGCAGCUAACGCAUUAAGCACUCCGCCUGGGGAGUACGACCGCAAGGUUGAAACUCAAAGGAAUUGACGGGGGCCCGCACAAGCGGUGGAGCAUGUGGUUUAAUUCGAAGCAACGCGAAGAACCUUACCAGGUCUUGACAUCCCGAUGCUAUUUCUAGAGAUAGAAAGUUACUUCCGUACAUCGGUGACAGGUGGUGCAUGGUUGUCGUCAGCUCCUGUCCGGGAAAUGUUGGGGUUAAGUCCCGCAACCAAGCCCACCCCCUAUGGUU
rnacentral:rRNA from 1 species